CCAAAUAUUUUUUUACAAAAAAUUGAAAAAUCGUAGAAUUCCCAAAUCAUUUCGAGAAAUUUUAUCUUUUGUCUCUUAAACAUCUGAACAUCUCAACAAAAUCAAUGAAGCAAUUACCACAUUCAAUCCAACUUGAUGGGGGAUUUAAGAUGACUCACAGGGAAUGAGUCAACGGAGCCGAAUUGGCGCAGAAUUCGCAGGCACAUGUGGCAACAUGUACUCUGCCAGGAGUUUGGAGUUUGGGGCAAGCUGCGUCGAAGGAGCCUGCCUGCAGACAAAGUGUCACCUCAGCAGCUGUUGUCCAACUGCAGCUGGCACAGAUUUUUCCCAGUUUUCCCCCCAGCUCGAAACAUUGAACUGUGGGAAUGGAGCGCUAAAUUGUUUUUCCAACUCCAACUGGAAGCCAGCACACGCCCUCAAUUGAAUUACAGUGACUUCAAGAUACGACACCUUUACGGCGGAGCAAGCCAGCUAUAACAACUCUAGUGAGCGAAAAAGGUGGGGCGUUGCAGGGCGGACUCUUGACAACAGUUGACACCUUUCAAGGGGAUUUCCAAGAAGCUGUAAAAAGUGUCUUCCGUCUGGAACAGAGUAAGAACGAUGUCGGAGAUUUUAUGGGAUUUCAAGUGGCAUAGCUCAAGUCACAGCCGUAUAAUUGGAACGAGGCUAUUCGGUUGAUAUUAUUCUAAAAUAUUCAAAGCUAUACUUUGCUCAAAGCUCAGCAAGUUGGUAACUCUUGAAAUAAAUAAUAUAAUAUGAAAUAUACGACAAUAGCACUGUAUUUAAGGCUUUACCCAUUAAGUUUCAAAAUUAUCCUAGUAAAUAUGAUAUGUAAA
rnacentral:sRNA from 1 species